GACGAACGCUGGCGGCAUGCCUAACACAUGCAAGUCGAACGAACCCUUCGGGGUUAGUGGCGCACGGGUGCGUAACGCCUGGUAAUCUGCCCUUUGCUUCGGAAUAACUCAGGGAAACUUGUGCUAAUACCGGAUGGUGUCUUCGGACCAAAGAUUUAUCGGCAAGGGAUGAGCCCGCGUAGGAUUCGGUGGUUGGUGGGGUAAAGGCCUGCCAAGCCGACGAUCCUUAGCUGGUCUGAGAGGAUGAUCAGCCACACUGGGACUGAGACACGGACCAGACUCCUACGGGAGGGAGCAGUGGGGAAUAUUGGACAAUGGGCCCAAGCGUGAUCCAGCAAUGCCGCGUGAGUGAUGAAGGCCCUCGGGUAGUAAAGCUCUUUUACCAGGGAUGAUAAUGACAGUAACUGGAGAAUAAGCUCCGGCUAACUCCGUG
rnacentral:rRNA from 1 species